rnacentral:tmRNA from 1 species
AAGCUUUUUUUCGGACGCGUUGCCCCUUAUAUUCGUGGUGCCGGUUCUGCCGGCUAUGGCGAUAAACGCGGUCGUAAUAAGCCGAUCGGACCCGGGGGCGGUACCCGGCGCCUCCACCAUAUUCUCCGGGCCUUGCGCCUCCCCUCUGGGGAGCUGACCGUAAGGCCCGGUAUUAUGGGGGCGAAAUAGGAUCGACGAAGGCGUAAAGGACUUAGCUUUUGCCCGGCAUGAUACCACCGUUAUCGGGUCAUACAGAAUAGUUGCCAAUGAC